UUUUACCGUCGACCCCGGUUUACAAAUACAUUGCUGAAAUGAAUUUUUUUACGGUCAAUUCAUUGAACUAUAUAUUAUUUACAAAAAGUGAUUUUACCGUCUAUGUCUGUUAAUCAUUUAACAAAAGAAUGACGUGACAAUACGUGGCAAUCAAUUAAAUCUAUGUGUCAAUACUAACAAGGAGAGAGAAUAUAAGCUAAAUAAUUAAUUAAAAUAAAUUAUACUCAAUUUUAUAAUAAAUACUUAAAACAAAUUAAAUCAUUUAUCUAUCAAAAUCUGAUCUAUGGGUCUCGCUCCUCCUCCUCCUCCUCCUCCUCCAUCUUCUCCAAACUCCCUUCCUCUUUCUCUCUCCUCAAACACCUCUUCUCCACUUAUCCCUCUCUCCCGAACACCCCUCCUCCAAACCCCAUACAACAACUAUCAACAAACCAAAUAACCAAAACAACCAUUUCACUAAAACCCCAUAAAUCCUUCUUCCCUAAACUAUUCUCCACCAAAAUCAACUCUUCCCAAUCUUCAUCAGACUCUGAAAACUCAGAUUUCAAAGAAGAAAACCCAAGAACAACAUUAUCAACAACAAAAAGAAUCAACAAAUUCAAGCUCCCUCCACCUUACGAUCCGUUUAACAAGAAACCCUUAAUCGAAGAACCCCAAACAUCUAGACCACAAAUCCAAAUCCAAAAUAAUUCGAAAUCAAAAAUCUGAAACUCAUCAAAAUCAAAACAACCAAGUUCUAAAAUUCCAACAACCCAGAUCUGUAGUCGGAAGUAGCCGAAAUCCAAAUCUAAUUCAAUAUCUUUUUCACCACAAAUCCAAAUUAAAUGUAUUUAUUUAUAUUAAAAACCACCAUUACUCUUCUCCUCCAUCUUUAGUCAAAUUUCAGACCCAGGGAUAUAGGUUGGGUCUUCUUUUUCUGCAACUUUGUGGAGGCGGCGAUGGAGAGGGAAGGGAAAUCAGCAACGCCGCCGCCGCCGUGGAGUGGUUGUUUGCGUCGGCAAUUUUAUUCUUGUGCUGAUGAAUUGAAGGAGUUCUUCUUCGUGAUCUUCGGAUUUGUGUUACGGAAUUUGGAGAUGAGGAACUCUGUGUUACUGAAUAUGGGUUUGGGAAAUGUGUUACGGAAUUUGGAGAUGAUUGAUGAGGAAGUCUGUGUUUCUGUGUCACUGAGUUGGUGACAUUUAGGAUUUUUAAGAAAAAAAGAGAGAGAUAAUAAUAAUAAUAAUAAUAAUAAUAAUUGAUGUUUGAAGGAUUUGUUGAUGAAUAAUUUUAAAGAAAUUACUCAAAUUCAAAAUUUAUUCAAGUUUCUCUUAUUUUAAUAAUAUAUGUAAUAUAUCUGAAUACAAUAAAAGAUAAAUUUGUUUAAAAAAAUUAUUAAUAAUUUUUUAUUAUUAAUGUUGAAGAUAUUAUGACAAAAUUAGUAAUAUAACA
rnacentral:lncRNA from 1 species